rnacentral:rRNA from 1 species
GACGUAGGGCGCGAGCGUUGUCCGGAUUUAUUGGGCGUAAAGAGCUCGUAGGCGGCUUGUCGCGUCGUUCGUGAAAACCUGGGGCUCAACUCCAGGCUUGCGGGCGAUACGGGCAGAGUCAGAGUUCGGUAGGGGAGACUGGAAUUCCUGGUGUAGCGGUGAAAUGCGCAGAUAUCGGGAGGAACACCGAUGGCGAAGGCAGCUCGCUGGGACGGUACUGACGCUGAGGCGCGAAAGCGUGGGGAGCAAACAGGG